AUAACAUUGAUGAAGCCACGGAUGAUUUAGUAGAUUCAUUUGAGGAAGAUGAAGUUCUCACUAUUGCGUGAAGUUUAAUCAAGGUUGGCAGAGCAAAUCACAUCACUAUUGGUGAGAAGGGGUUGAUGAAGGCAGAGCACCAAUGGGUUUAGUUUUGUAUCUUUGGUUAUGUAUUUGUGUGGUACCCCAAGUGAUUGAGACACUAUUGCUUAUUUUCAUCUUUUGGUGGUUCUGUUGCUGACUUUGUGAUGAAAGAUUGAGACACUAUUGCUUAUUUUCUCUGUAUUGAUCAAGGUUGGAUAGUGAAUGAUGUUCCAUUUUAUUGUUGCUUAUUUUCAUCUUUUGGUGGUU